CCUACGAGUGGCAGCAGUGAGGAAUAUUGGUCAAUGGACGAGAGUCUGAACCAGCCAAGUAGCGUGAAGGAUGACUGCCUUCUGGGCUGUAAACUUCUUUUAUAUUGGAAUAAAAUGUUCCACGUGUGGGAUUUUGUAUGUACCAUAUGAAUAAGGAUCGUCUAACUUCGUACCAGCAGCCGCGGUAAUACGGAGGUUCCGAGCGUUAUCCGGAUUUAUUGGGUUUAAAGGAAGCGUAGGUGGAUUGUUAAGUCAGUUGUGAAAGUUUGCGGCUCAACCGUAAAAUUGCAGUUGAAACUGGCAGUCUUGAGUACAGUAGAGGUGGGCGGAAUUCGUGGUGUAGCGGUGAAAUGCUUAGAUAUCACGAAGAACUCCGAUUGCGAAGGCAGCUCACUGGACUGCAACUGACACUGAGGCUCGAAAGUGUGGGUAUCAAACAGGAUUAGAUACCCGGGUAGUC
rnacentral:rRNA from 1 species